rnacentral:misc_RNA from 1 species
CUCUGUCUCUCUCUCUCUCUCUCGCCAACAACCGAGAACAGGGUAGGAUGGUAGACACUGCAAGCACGUGCCUCAAUCUCUCUAUGUUUUCCAUGGAAAUUUGCCUCUAAUUUUCUCAUUUUUCACGGUCAGAAGUCAUUCUAAGAAAGCCUCUCUUUUAUUUUGUCUUGUUCCCUGUUCUUUUCUUAUCUUCGAUGAUCGUCAGUUAGCCGUGACCCAGAUCAGUUUAUGUCCGUCUUGAGUUUUAUUUUUUUCCUGGGUCUCCAUUAUUUACUUGCAACUUUCAAUAUAAGCUCUGCUCAGCGGUGUUUGGACUCUGUAUUGAUUCCUCAUCUCCUGCAUAUAAUCUUCUUUUUUUUUGUCAAAGUUGUCCUCUUGUUUAUGUUGUUUUAUGCAAUUUGUAUUUUCUGCCCUUCUCUCAUGCUUCUAUUUGAAUUCCAUUAGUGUUUUUCAUUUUCACAUUGUAAGGAAACUUUGAUUGGGUGAUCCCUAUGUCUAGUGUUCACACUACUUACAAGCUUUUAAUCAACUGACUUAUUGUGAUCUUGGUCAAUAUAUACCUCUUUGUCUUUCAAUUGACUUCAUUUUUACCUGGUUGAGAUCUCAAUUUAUAGCUUAAAUGAGCCUUACAACUCAUUUUCUUAUGCUUUAGUUUCUACGCCCAUCUCAGAUUUUCAGUUCUUGCCUGUUGCCUCACUUCAAAUUGUGCCCUGGGUACUGCUGAUAGUCUAGUAGUACUGUUGUGCAAAUUUUUAGCAUUCAAUUUAACUCUCACAUUACAAGUUGACCCUGUUAUUUAGAUAAUCUAUAUAUUGUUCAGCAUCCUAGAAUUUACUUGCCCUUGGAUCCUUUUCGAUUCAUGCGCCAAAUCCUUGCCCAUUGAUAUAUGUUAGAAUACUCUAACUGUAGGCAUCAAUGUCAAUCUUAUGUGGCUUACCUCUCCUUGAGUGUGUCUACUGUCUAGCAUGUGCCCGCUGGGCAUGGAAACGUUGUCUCCAUUCCGCUGGUCAUGACAGUGAAACUUGGGGCCUUGCAACUGUAGAAGAAUUUGAGCCUGUUCCUCGCCUAUGUCGCUAUAUUCUAGCCGUUUAUGAAGAUGAUCUUCGGCACCCUAUGUGGGAGCCGCCUGGAGGGUAUGGAAUAAACCCAGAUUGGGUAAUUCUCAGAAAAACUUAUGAGGAUACUCUUGGAAGGGCCCCUCCCUAUAUAUUGUAUCUAGAUCAUGAUCAUUCCGAUAUAGUUCUUGCGAUCAGAGGCCUUAAUCUGGCAAAAGAAAGUGACUAUGCUGUGCUUUUGGACAAUAGACUGGGGAAAAGGAAAAUUGAUGGUGGUUACGUCCACAAUGGACUCUUGAAGGCUGCUGGGUGGGUUUUGGAUGCAGAGUGUGAGAUUUUGAAGGAGUUGGUAAAGAAGUAUCCAAAUUAUACUUUGACUUUUGCAGGACAUUCCCUUGGGUCUGGUGUAGCUGCGAUGUUGACAUUGGUGGUAGUGCUAAAUCGGGAUAAAUUGGGAAACAUUGAGAGAAGAAGGGUCAGGUGCUAUGCUAUUGCACCGGCAAGAUGUAUGUCGCUUAAUUUGGCAGUCAGAUAUGCAGAUGUUAUUAAUUCUGUUGUGCUGCAGGCAAGUAUUAUAAACUCUUACUUGUUUGGAGAAUUAUAUGAAUAAAAAUGCCUCUCAUGAUACCUCGGCAACUUUUAGUCUUUUCUUCAUUGGUUUUGCUUCUACAUUUUAUUUUGGAUGGUGUCACAAUUCUUGUUAGUUUGAAAUGGUUCUCGCUGUUUUUUCCUUCUAUUUUUCAUUCAUACUUGUUCAUUAUCAUAAUAAGUGUUCCCAACAUUUUUCUGUUUCGAACUUUGAGGAAAUGCUUUUCAAUUGGAAGUUAGGAUACUCCCAUACUUUGGGACUUCUAUUUUUCUAUCAUAGGUAAGGAGAAAAAAUUGUAAUAGAGGUGCAAAGGUGUUGAAGGGUUGCUGCAAAAAGAUAGCAAAGGUCUUGAAGGGUUGCUGCAAAAAGAUUAAGUUCUCACAUGCAAGACAACAGGGUGAGAAUAUUGUGUACACAUAAACACAAAAGUAUACGGUGAAAACAUUAAUUAUAGAAUUUUUGCUGUCUGGAGAGGAUUCAUGCUUAUAGAGAUGCUUACCUUGCUUAUCAUGGAGUUUUAUGUAGAAAUUCCUGAUGAAGUUGAUAAAGGACAAUGAAUUUUUGGUCUACAUCUCAAAAGAGGAUUUAUAUAUGUGCUGGAGUUUGAUGAGAACUAUAUCAUCGGUUAAGAUUUAGGAUAGAUCUCACAUACAAAUUUGUCAGUGCAUCCAACAUAUUGAAUGACGGGGUGUUCUUGUUUCCCAUUUGUAGUAAAUCCUUGGGGUAAUUAUCAAUGAUGAUGAGGCUUUAUAGAUGAUAUGGUUUCAUUAUGUUGCUAACCUGAAUAUAAGAAAUUGUUAGUCAUCAUAUUUUGAUAAAUUUAACUAUAUUUCACUGGAGCAGGAUGAUUUCUUACCACGGACGGCCACACCCUUGGAAGACAUUUUCAAGUCACUUUUCUGUUUGCCAUGCCUACUAUGUCUAAGGUGCAUGAGGGACACAUGUAUACCCGAAAAGCAUCUGCUCAAAGAUCCAAGGAGACUCUAUGCACCUGGUCGCCUCUAUCACAUUGUUGAGAGAAAACCUUUCAGAAUGGGAAGAUUCCCCCCAGUUGUGAGGACAGCAGUACCAGUGGAUGGCAGGUUUGAGCAUAUAGUUCUAUCCUGUAAUGCCACUUCUGACCACGCAAUCAUUUGGAUAGAGAGAGAAGCCACGAGGGCUCUGGAUCUAAUGCUGGAGAAAGAUCAUAUCAUGGAGAUCCCAGUAAAGCAAAGGAUGGAGCGGCAGGAGACUUUGGCCCGUGAACAUACUGAGGAGUACAAGGCUGCACUACAGAGAGCUGUUAUACUGGCUGUGCCGCAUGCAUAUUCACCUUCUCAGUAUGGAACUUUUGAUGAGCAAGAGGAAGGACUCAAAGGCGAUGAAUCACAAAUAUCAUCAAGUGGGGAAUCUUCUUUUGGUUCUUCAAGGAAAAGAAUGUCGAAAGAAAACUGGGAUGAAUUGAUCGAACGUCUAUUUGAGAAGGAUGAAUCUGGUCAUAUGGUGAUAAAAAAAUCACAUAGGAAUGAUUGAUAAUGAUGUAGCGGUGUAAGGAUAUCAUGAAAAAGAGUUGAGUAUGAGUUUGCGGCAAAAAGAGUUAUUCCUUGAUUCAUUUGUACAAUAAUUUUACUUCAAUUGAUUUUUGCAUUAGCUAAUGAAAUGAUUAAGUGUCUGUUUGGCAUUGUGUUUAGGGAAAUUGCUUUUCUGAAUAAAA